rnacentral:rRNA from 1 species
GCCUGCCGCGUGUAUGAAGAAGGCCUUCGGGUUGUAAAGUACUUUCGGUAAUGAGGAAGGUGGUGUAUCUAAUAGGUGCAUCAAUUGACGUUAAUUACAGAAGAAGCACCGGCUAACUCCGUGCCAGCAGCCGCGGUAAUACGGAGGGUGCGAGCGUUAAUCGGAAUGACUGGGCGUAAAGGGCAUGUAGGCGGAUAAUUAAGUUAGGUGUGAAAGCCCUGGGCUCAACCUAGGAAUUGCACUUAAAACUGGUUAACUAGAGUAUUGUAGAGGAAGGUAGAAUUCCACGUGUAGCGGUGAAAUGCGUAGAGAUGUGGAGGAAUACCGGUGGCGAAGGCGGCCUUCUGGACAGAUACUGACGCUGAGAUGCGAAAGCGUGGGGAGCAAACAGGAUUAGAUACCCUGGUAGUCCACGCUGUAAACGAUGUCGAUUUGGAGUUUGUUGCCUAGAGUGAUGGGCUCCGAAGCUAACGCGAUAAAUCGACCGCCUGGGGAGUACGGCCGCAAGGUUAAAACUCAAAUGAAUUGACGGGGGCCCGCACAAGCGGUGGAGCAUGUGGUUUAAUUCGAUGCAACGCGAAGAACCUUACCUGGUCUUGACAUCCACAGAAUCUUGCAGAGAUGCGAGAGUGCCUUCGGGAACUGUGAGACAGGUGCUGCAUGGCUGUCGUCAGCUCGUGUUGUGAAAUGUUGGGUUAAGUCCCGCAACGAGCGCAACCCUUAUCCUUUGUUGCCAGCGGUUCGGCCGGGAACUCAAAGGAGACUGCCGUUGAUAAAGCGGAGGAAGGUGGGGACGACGUCAAGUCAUCAUGGCCCUUACGACCAGGGCUACACACGUGCUACAAUGGCGUAUACAAAGGGAGGCGACCUCGCGAGAGCAAGCGGACCUCAUAAAGUACGUCUAAGUCCGGAUUGGAGUCUGCAACUCGACUCCAUGAAGUCGGAAUCGCUAGUAAUCGUGAAUCAGAAUGUCACGGUGAAUACGUUCCCGGGCCUUGUACACACCGCCCGUCACACCAUGGGAGUGGGUUGCACCAGAAGUAGAUAGCUUAACCGCAAGGGGGGCGUUUACCAC